rnacentral:rRNA from 1 species
GAUGAACGCUGGCGGCGUGCCUAAUACAUGCAAGUCGAGCGAACGGACGAGAAGCUUGCUUCUCUGAUGUUAGCGGCGGUCGGGUAAGUAACACGUGGAUAACCUACCUAUAAGACUGGGAUAACUUCGGGAAACCGGAGCUAAUACCGGAUAAUAUUUUGAACCGCAUGGUUCAAAAGUGAAAGACGGUCUUGCUGUCACUUAUAGAUGGAUCCGCGCUGCAUUAGCUAGUUGGUAAGGUAACGGCUUACCAAGGCAACGAUGCAUAGCCGACCUGAGAGGGUGAUCGGCCACACUGGAACUGAGACACGGUCCAGACUCCUACGGGAGGCAGCAGUAGGGAAUCUUCCGCAAUGGGCGAAAGCCUGACGGAGCAACGCCGCGUGAGUGAUGAAGGUCUUCGGAUCGUAAAACUCUGUUAUUAGGGAAGAACAUAUGUGUAAGUAACUGUGCACAUCUUGACGGUACCUAAUCAGAAAGCCACGGCUAACUACGUG